GGAAGUAAAAGUCGUAACAAAGUUUCCGUAGGUGAACCUGCGGAAGGAUCAUUCAUAAUAAGUGUUUAUGGCACUUUUUUAAAUCCAUAUCCACCUUGUGUGCAAUGUCAGGGUUGAUUUUUCUCUCGAGAGGAUCAACCCCAAACAUCAACUAUAUCUCAACUCUUUGUCUGAAAAAUAUUAUGAAUAAAACAAUUCAAAAUACAACUUUCAACAACGGAUCUCUUGGCUCUC
rnacentral:misc_RNA from 1 species